rnacentral:rRNA from 1 species
AACGAACGCUGGCGGCAGGCUUAACACAUGCAAGUCGAACGCCCCGCAAGGGGAGUGGCAGACGGGUGAGUAACGCGUGGGAAUCUACCCAUCCCUACGGAACAACUCCGGGAAACUGGAGCUAAUACCGUAUACGCCCUACGGGGGAAAGAUUUAUCGGGGAUGGAUGAGCCCGGCGUUGGAUUAGCUAGUUGGUGGGGUAAAGGCCUACCAAGGCGACGAUCCAUAGCUGGUCUGAGAGGAUGAUCAGCCACAUUGGGACUGAGACACGGCCAAAACCCCGGCGGGAGGCAGCAGGGGGGAAUAUUGGACAAGGGGCGAAAGUCUGAUCAAGCCUUGCGGCGGAGGUGAUGAAGGUUUUAGGAUUGUAAAGCUCUUUCACCGGAAAAGAUAAUGACGGUAUCCGGAGAAGAAGCCCCGGCUAACUUCGUGCCAGCCGCCGCGGUAA